UUAAAUGCCAUGUGGCAUGGAGGCAUGUAUGUUUAGCUUGGUUGGAUCUCAAUAUGAUUUUUGGAAGCUAGUGUAAAAACCCCUAAAAAUAAGGCCAAUUAAGUAAUUGAUGUGCCUGGUUAUACUUUCUUUCCUGUGUAACAUGAAAUGACAUAUCUGGAAGUUGAAGGAAGAAGAUCCUUCCACAUUUCCAUAUUUGUGAUUUAAAAAAAAGGUUCCGAUGUGCUCACCUUAGAAUGGAACUAAAAGUGACUACUUGGCACUUUGCUUCCAAAACUUUGCCUUGGCUGGAAAAUGCUUCUGAGAAAAGCAAUAAGACUAUCUGGGGAAUUAGAAAGGUUGCUUGAGAGAACCAAUGAAAAGGAUGAUAUAUUUAUAAGUUGCUAACAAAAGAUUUAUAACUUCUCAAAGUGAGGGGAAGACACAAUUUAUCAUGCCAAGAACCAGAAUGUAAGUAUAGCAUCCAAGAAGGAGUGUGGCUGAGGACAAGAGCCCUGGGAAUGUAUGAAUUAGAGUAAGAUGUGAACUUUUAGGUAACAGGACAGGUUUGGCCAGAUGGGGUUUGUCAGCUAUUUAGUGAUCCAGAGAUAUUAGUUUUGUCAGAGAGAAGCAGGCAAAAGAGGAAGUUUGAGUUAACGUUCAGAGGCUGGGGUCAGAGAGAGUGUUGUGCUAUAGAUUAUCCCCUGUAUCCAUUUCACCUCACUGUCAGUGAAGAAAACAUGGAGUCUGUAAGCAAGGAGGUACUGAAGAAGGGCCAAGUACCCUGUCCAAUGUAGUGUGGCAUUCUUGGUGAGCCCUUACCUGUGGCCCUACCAUGCCUUUGGGCUUAACACAAAUCUCCUACAUGGGUAUGUCUGGUUUGUUUUGUACCUCAAGCACCAGUUCCAUCUCUCCACUGUCUUGUUUACCAGCUUGAUAGCCCAUUCUCCAAGUGUUGCUCUAUCAGCCCAACCCACUUUCUAGAAUUUCCUGGCUAUGGCCUUGUUUUUCUAGACUCCUCCCACAUAUUUGUGUCUUUCUUCUCUAGCUUGGCACCCUCAUGAGCUGCCCUCAGAAGAGUACCACUCUCCCUCUAGACUGCUUCAAAUGGCAUUUUGAUUUGUCAGGAGAACCCUGACACUAACCUGACUCCAACUUUCCUGACAUGUUACAAAGAUAAAC
rnacentral:lncRNA from 1 species